AACGAACGCUGGCGGCAGGCCUAACACAUGCAAGUCGAGCGAACCCUUCGGGGUUAGCGGCGGACGGGUUAGUAACGCGUGGGAAUAUACCCUUUGGUACGGAAUAGCCUCGGGAAACUGAGAGUAAUACCGCAUGUGCCCUUCGGGGGAAAGAUUUAUCGCCAAAGGAUUAGCCCGCGUUGGAUUAGAUAGUUGGUGGGGUAAUGGCCUACCAAGUCUACGAUCCAUAGCUGGUUUGAGAGGAUGAUCAGCAACACUGGGACUGAGACACGGCCCAGACUCCUACGGGAGGCAGCAGUGGGGAAUCUUAGACAAUGGGCGCAAGCCUGAUCUAGCCAUGCCGCGUGGACGAUGAAGGCCUUAGGGUUGUAAAGUCCUUUCAGAUGGGAAGAUAAUGACGGUACCAUCAGAAGAAGCCCCGGCUAACUCCGUG
rnacentral:rRNA from 1 species